rnacentral:rRNA from 1 species
GCGUUGUCCGGAAUUACUGGGCGUAAAGAGCUCGUAGGCGGUUUGUCACGUCGUCUGUGAAAUCCUAGGGCUUAACCCUGGACGUGCAGGCGAUACGGGCUGACUUGAGUACUACAGGGGAGACUGGAAUUUCUGGUGUAGCGGUGGAAUGCACAGAUAUCAGGAAGAACACCGAUGGCGAAGGCAGGUCUCUGGGUAGUAACUGACGCUGAGGAGCGAAAGCAUG